UACGAAGGGGGCUAGCGUUGCUCGGAAUCACUGGGCGUAAAGGGCGCGUAGGCGGCCGAUUAAGUCGGGGGUGAAAGCCUGUGGCUCAACCACAGAAUUGCCUCGAUACUGGUUGGCUUGAGACCGGAAGAGGACAGCGGAACUGCGAGUGUAGAGGUGAAAUUCGAUAGAUAUUCGCAAGAACACCAGUGGCGAAGGCGGCUGUCUGGUCCGGUUCUGACGCUGAGGCGCGAAAGCGUGGGGAGCAAACAGG
rnacentral:rRNA from 1 species